rnacentral:lncRNA from 1 species
GGUUCUUGCUCGCGGGGGUCUCGGCGAGUGGCGUGCGUGCGAUCGGCCCUGCCCUGCCCCGGGACUGCCGCGUAGCAGGGAGGGCCCGGGCUGCGCCCCGAAACUGCCAAGCCCGGGGCGGGCCGCGCCCCGAUCUGGGUUGAAGAGUUGGGGAGAUUUACUGCAGGCUGGCUCCAUCCGACACCCUCCCAGGUGGUCACUGCAACCUGUCACUUCCUUCUCCCUGCGGCCACUUUGGAUUCCCCGGAGAGUCCGGUCACCUCUGUGCUUGGUACCUGGAUCCUCCAGCAAGGCUCCGCCCACCAAGGCACUUCAUACUCACUUUCUCCUUGUUAGGCAACGGGAACGAGAAACAUGGUCUCCACUGUUCCUGCCCUCAGGGGUGUCAACCUAACCUUAGAACAGAAGAGAGUGAAAAGGCCGGGAGCAUCAGGCCAGGUUUGGAAUGUAUGCCAAGGUUACCCUCAGUAAGGGAGCUGACGUUACAGUGUAAUGAGUGAACUCCUCUGAUGUCUUUGAAACUUUUAAGUAAACCUAAAAGCCCAGAAUAAAAAGGGAACUGUAAAAGUC